GACGAACGCUGGCGGCGUGCUUAACACAUGCAAGUCGAACGGAAAGGCCUGCUUUCCCUUGUGGAUUGCGGGUGCUCGAGUGGCGAACGGGUGAGUAACACGUGAGUGAUCUGCCCCCAACUUGAGUAUAAGCCUGGGAAACUGGGUCUAAUUCCCGAUAGGACUGCAGGGUGGUGCCUGUGGUGGAAAACGAUUUUCUAGUGGUUGGGGAUGAGCUCGCGGCCUAUCAGCUUGUUGGUGGGGUAAUGGCCUACCAAGGCGGCGACGGGUAGCCGGCCUGAGAGGGUGGACGGCCACAUUGGGACUGAGAUACGGCCCAGACUCCUACGGGAGGCAGCAGUGGGGAAUAUUGCACAAUGGGCGGAAGCCUGAUGCAGCGACGCCGCGUGGGGGAUGACGGCCUUCGGGUUGUAAACUCCUUUCGACCGCGAGGAAGCCACCUGGUUGGAAGGGUGGUGACGGUAGUGGUAGAAGAAGCACCGGCUAACUACGUG
rnacentral:rRNA from 1 species